CAGCCGCCGCGGUAAUACGAAGGGUGCAAGCGUUAAUCGGAAUUACUGGGCGUAAAGCGUGCGUAGGCGGUGAGUUAAGUCUGCUGUGAAAUCCCCGGGCUCAACCUGGGAAUGGCAGUGGAUACUGGCUCGCUAGAGUGUGUCAGAGGAUGGUGGAAUUCCCGGUGUAGCGGUGAAAUGCGUAGAGAUCGGGAGGAACAUCAGUGGCGAAGGCGGCCAACUGGUCCGAUACUGACGCUGAGGUGCGAAAGCGUGGGGAGCAAACAGGAUUAGAGACCCCGGUAGUCCCUGUCUCUUAUAC
rnacentral:rRNA from 1 species